CCUACGGGUGGCAGCAGCGAGGAAUCUUCUACAAUGGGCGCAAGCCCGAUAGAGCAACGCCGCGUGGAGGACGACGGCCUUCGGGUUGUAAACUCCUUUCGGGGGGGAUGACACGGACAGUACCCCCAGAAGCAGCCCCGGCUAACUCUGUGCCAGCAGCCGCGGUAAGACAGAGGGGGCAAGCGUUGUCCGGAUUUACUGGGCGUACAGCGCGCGCAGGCGGCCCGCGGCUGUGCCGGGUGACAGCCCACCGCUCAACGGCGGGUGGUCCCGGUAGACAGGCGGGCUGGAGGCAGGGAGAGGAUGGUGGAAUACCCGGUGGAGCGGUGAUAUGCGUAGAGAUCGGGUGGAACACCAGCGGCGAAGGCGGCCAUCUGGCCCUGCCCUGACGCUGAGGCGCGAGAGCGUGGGGAGCGAACCGGAUUAGAUACCCGGGUAGU
rnacentral:rRNA from 1 species